GAUGAACGCUGGCGGCGUGCUUAACACAUGCGAGUCGAACGGUGAAGGCGGAGCUUGCUCUGCUGGAUCAGUGGCGAACGGGUGAGUAACACGUGAGCAAUCUGCCCCUGACUCUGGGAUAAGCGCUGGAAACGGCGUCUAAUACUGGAUACGAGCUGCGAAGGCAUCUUCAGCAGCUGGAAAGAACUUCGGUCAGGGAUGAGCUCGCGGCCUAUCAGCUUGUUGGUGAGGUAACGGCUCACCAAGGCGUCGACGGGUAGCCGGCCUGAGAGGGUGACCGGCCACACUGGGACUGAGACACGGCCCAGACUCCUACGGGAGGCAGCAGUGGGGAAUAUUGCACAAUGGGCGAAAGCCUGAUGCAGCAACGCCGCGUGAGGGACGACGGCCUUCGGGUUGUAAACCUCUUUUAGCAGGGAAGAAGCGAAAGUGACGGUACCUGCGGAAAAAGCGCCGGCUAACUACGUG
rnacentral:rRNA from 1 species